rnacentral:rRNA from 1 species
GGGACCCCAGGUCAGGCGGG